AACAGAAGAAAGCACAGGAGGCUCGUAUAUAUCCUCGACACCAAGAGCUCCAACAAAAUCUAUUGCAACCGUCAGGAGACAAUCACGGCGGAGGAGUCGGUCUAUGGUUUGUUUCGGUGCCAGCAUUUGGAUCUGUUGUGAGGUUGCGGAUAACUUUGGCAAUGGGGCCCACCAGUCAAUGACCAACUCGUAUGACCGGUUUCAAGUAUAGACGGUUGAUGCCCAUACGCAAUGACGUAGAGAAAAAUUAGUUGAUGUCCCAUCCAGUCGUGGCCAUUAGAAUAAAGAAAAGG
rnacentral:lncRNA from 7 species